rnacentral:pre_miRNA from 1 species
ACCUGGGGAUCUUGUUAAAAAGCAGAUUUUUGUUACAGUAAGUCCAGGGUGAGGGCUGCAUUUCUAACAAGCUCCCAGUGA